rnacentral:rRNA from 1 species
UACGUAGGGUGCGAGCGUUUGUCCGGAAUUAUUGGGGCGUAAAGAGCUUGUAGGCGGUUUGUCGCGUCUGCCGUGAAAUUUCGAGGCUCAACCUCGAACUUGCGGUGGGUACGGGCAGACUAGAGUGUGGUAGGGGAGACUGGAAUUCCUGGUGUAGCGGUGAAAUGCGCAGGAUAUCAGGAGGAACACCGAUGGGCGAAGGCAGGUCUCUGGGCCACUACUGACGCUGAGAAGCGAAAGCAUGGGGAGCGAACAGG